UACGAAGGGUGCAAACGUUAUUCGGAAUCACUGGGCGUAAAGGGUGCGUAGAUGGCAUGUUAAGUUCGUCGUUAAAGGCUCCGGCCUAACCGGAGUAUUGCGAUGAAAACUGGCGUACUAGAGGGUGAGAGAGAGAAGUGGAAUUCCUGGAGUAGCGGUAAAAUGCGUGGAUCUCAGGAGGAACACCAAUGGCGAAGGCAGCUUCUUGGCUCAUUCCUGACAUUGAGGCACGAAAGCGUGGGGAGCAAACAGG
rnacentral:rRNA from 1 species